CCUUGCGAGACUUGCGUGUAUCACGAUUAUACCCAUCAUGAAACUCAGCUGCAUCGGUUUAAAACUUGUGAACAUAAGGGAGAGUGCAGUCAAAAUUUAUACAUCUGCUGUCACGAUUAUCAAUGCAUAGAUAAACUAUUUGGAACAAAUUUUCAAAGCACUCUGUCGACAAUUCAAUCAACAACCGGUGCAAGCAUCACAUCAAAAACAACGGACCGAGCAAGUACUACAAAGGCGCAUGCA